rnacentral:lncRNA from 1 species
UAAUCAGUUCCGUUCAGUGUUCUGCUCACAGGCCUGCUACAGUCCAUCAUGCUCAGUCAUAAUAAUGUCCAGUUAAGUCUUACAUAUCACUUAUCAGUUAGGUAUAUUUAAAACGUAGAGGGCCCUACUAAAAAUAAUCACAGUGGGAUUAAGUAGCUCUACCGUAUGAUUAUUUUUCUAAGCAGUUAUUCAGUUAAUGUUUUAUCAUUUAGUCACUCAUUUCUUACAUUUUUCUACAUCCGAGUCGCUCUGGUUGAUCGGAGGAAUAUUUCAAAAUAUCUAUACUAUAGAUAAACUAUAGUCUUUUAUCUAUUAAGUGGCCAAAUUUUAUCAUGCUAUACUGAAUUGCAACAGUCUUAAUGUAAAUUAUUUACCAUUAAUAAGUAUGCGUUGUUAUGAAGAUGUUUUGAAAUUCGAUGCACCGAAUAGAGCGAGCGAGUACCUCCGUCCUUUCCCUAUCCGCAUUUCACUCUCCUAUUCAUCCACCCGCAGAACAUUUCACCCCCCUUUUAUCAUUAUUAUUGAGAAUUACAGCGAAUAAACGAUAGAGGGCCAAAGACAUAAAUGAAUAAUAAAGUUGUUGGGAACGAGUGUUGUAUCGGUUUAAAAAACUAAACAGACUGCAGUCCUAUCAGUCCGUCUCUAAUAAAAUUUGAAAGUCCUAGGACUGGUCCUUAUUGGUCUUUUAUGGUAACUACAACAGCUGAAAUGAUGUAGUUACUGACUGCGUCAUUUCAUUAUUCAAAGAGACAAGUUACCUGAUGUUUGAAGUACUGUGAAUUCCUGUCAGACCAAGUGGAUAAAAGCUGAGGCCAAUGGGGUGGAGUUCCUGUUUCAACAAGAUUUUUUCCCUCUCACAAUUCAUGCAAGACCCAAAACUUGUUUAAAGACGAAAAGGUGUCAUUUUGACACCCCACACUUGACCCUUUAACUCCCCCAUAUGAAUUGGAUGGAUUACUUUUUUUUAGGGAGAGUUAGAGAGAAAGGUUUCUGCCAAUUCACACAUCAGAUUUGACUCCUUGAAGACCUCCAUCAUCAAGUACUGGAAAAAGGUAUCUCUCAAGGAUGUGGUCAAGGACUGCAAAUCCUUUAGACAUUGUAUUGAGUGAAUGAUUGGCGAAAAUGGCAAACACAUUCAAUUAAUUUUUUGCGUAAAUAGUAUCGACAGAUGAAUUGUAUGUAAGUCGUAUAAAUAUUUAUGAUAUAAGAAAUAAUAAUGUAGUCGGAUAAUGAAAUAUUGCAGGCGUGUGCAUGUACAUAUACCAAGAGCAGUGUUUCCCUUUUUUUUCUUAUUUGUCUAUUAUGUAUUUAUAUCACAAUUAAUGUGCAUUUUCAGCAUAUUCUAAGAUUUUAAUUAAAUAGUAGUACGUAGUAUGUAAAAAUUAAUUUCAUUUGUUUUUAUUAAUGUCCCUUCUUAAGAUUAAAGUACUCGUAAGUCAUCCCCAAAUAUUUGUUUCCCUCAAACUCUUAUAAUUAUUCUUUCAUUCUUCAAGCAAGAACAUGUUAUAUGAAUUCAUAUAAGUAUUGAAUAGUUACGUCUGAGUGAGCUCAUGAAAAACGGAUGAUAUCUUGGGGAGUUAUCUUUUAUGUUAUUAGAGUAAAAUUUGUCUCUUAGAAAUAAAUUACUUGAAUUUUAA